ACGUAGGGGGCAAGCGUUAUCCGGAUUUACUGGGUGUAAAGGGAGCGUAGACGGCACAGCAAGUCUGAAGUGAAAUCCCCGGGCUCAACCCGGGAACUGCUUUGGAAACUGUUGGGCUGGAGUGUUGGAGAGGCAAGCGGAAUUCCUAGUGUAGCGGUGAAAUGCGUAGAUAUUAGGAGGAACACCAGUGGCGAAGGCGGCUUGCUGGACAAUCACUGACGUUGAGGCUCGAAAGCGUGGGGAGCAAACAG
rnacentral:rRNA from 1 species